GGAGAAGUACCCAAGUUGGUGAAGGGGCUCCCCUGCUAAGGGAGUAGGUCGGGAAACCGGCGCGAGAGUUCGAAUCUCUCUUUCUCCGCCA
rnacentral:tRNA from 1 species